UCUGCAGUCGAGGGGCAUCGCAGGUAGCAAUACUGGGCGGCGACCGGCAAACGGGUGCGGAACACGUACGUAACCUUCCUUUAAGUGGGAGAUAGCCCGAAGAAAUUCGGAUUAAUACCCCAUAAGAUUGUAGAGUGGCAUCACUUAGCAAUUAAAGAAUUUCGCUUAAAGAUGGGCGUGCGGCUGAUUAGGUAGUUGGUGAGGUAACGGCUCACCAAGCCAACGAUCAGUAACUGGCGUGAGAGCGCGACCAGUCACACGGGCACUGAGACACGGGCCCGACUCCUACGGGAGGCAGCAGUAAGGAAUAUUGGUCAAUGGACGGAAGUCUGAACCAGCCAUGCCGCGUGAAGGAUGAAGGUCCUCUGGAUUGUAAACUUCUUUUAUAUGGGAAGAAACCACUUUUAUCUAAAGGUGUUGACGGUACCAUAGGAAUAAGCACCGGCUAACUCCGUGCCAGCAGCCGCGGUAAUACGGAGGGGGCAAGCGUUAUCCGGAUUCACUGGGUUUAAAGGGUGCGUAGGCGGAUUGGUAAGUCCGUGGUGAAAUCUCCGAGCUUAACUCGGAAACUGCCAUGGAUACUAUUAGUCUUGAAUAUUGUGGAGGUUAGCGGAAUAUGUCAUGUAGCGGUGAAAUGCAUAGAUAUGACAUAGAACACCAAUUGCGAAGGCAGCUGGCUACACAAAUAUUGACGCUGAUGCACGAAAGCGUGGGGAUCAAACAGGAUUAGAUACCCUGGUAGUCCACGCCCUAAACGAUGAUUACUCGACAUUUGCGAUAUACAGUAAGUGUCUGAGCGAAAGCAUUAAGUAAUCCACCUGGGGAAGUACGACCGCGAGGUUGAACUCAA
rnacentral:rRNA from 1 species